UCCAGCGUGGUAUAGUGGUUUGAGUGUUGACUAUGACUCUGGAGACCAGGGUUCGAUUCCCUGUUUGGCC
rnacentral:tRNA from 1 species